rnacentral:rRNA from 1 species
ACGCUCGACACCUACGGAGGCAGCAGUGAGGAAUAUUGGUCAAUGGACGCAAGUCUGAACCAGCCAUGCCGCGUGCAGGAUGACGGCUCUAUGAGUUGUAAACUGCUUUUGUACGAGGGUAAACGCAGAUACGUGUAUCUGUCUGAAAGUAUCGUACGAAUAAGGAUCGGCUAACUCCGUGCCAGCAGCCGCGGUAAUCUGAGCGGGCUGGCAAGGC